rnacentral:rRNA from 1 species
AUGUUGCAAUUGUCUAAGGAUGCUAUCUUGACUAGAGAUGUGAUGAAACAUCAGGGCUGGAAAGGGAACCCUAGAUGCUUGUUUUGUGAGGAACGAGAGACUUCCCAGCAUCCAUUUUUUUACUUGUUCGGUUGCUGGGGUGAGCUGGAGAAUGAUUGCUUGUAUGUUUGGCACCGAAAUGUGUCUGAGCAACAUGUCGCAGGCUUACACUUGGUGUUAUGCUUUGUUCCGAGAAGGGGAAAUUUUCUAUACUGUUGGCAUUGCUGCUUUAUGUUGGGCAAUUUUUUAUUGUCACAAUAG